AGAAAAUCGGCUGGGGGCUGGGGGGGUCUUCCUUGUAGCCCUAAGCCGCAGCUGCGGGAGAAGCUGCCCUGGCUAGCCGAGGCCCGGCCCAGCGUGCUUCUCCGCGGCCAGCCUGGGCCACCGGAGCCGAGGCCUUCCCUGUGUUCCUAGGCCGCUGGCUCCGGCCUCCGCUCCCUGGACGCCUCCCGACUGACAAAAUUCUCCGUCUUUGUUUUAAAACCAAAGGACAGGCCAACCUUGAGCCCGGCCGUCACCCCUGUCGCGCUUUUGUUGGCGCAGGCUCGGCCCCCUACACCGGGCUGGUGCAGCUCCCGCGAUCAGACGGUCUCUCUCAAUUCGGCGUUGAACCCGGUUCUUCCCAAAUUCUGGUAUUGCUGGCCGCUUGGACACGUUCUCCCCUUAUCCCUCCCCCAGCGGGGAAAGAAAAAGCCAGGAUCCUUUCCUUGGCGCGGCCACCCGAGCCACUCCACCCGUCGCGCCAACCGCCUUUCCAGGUGGGGACCAAAGCCCCCACUCUCCGCUGGCAUCUCAUUGAAGGGCACCCCCCCGAGGGAUUGCCAGCUUCUGCUGCCAGCUGAGAGGCCGUGUGGCUGGGCGUCUUAAGCGCCGGUUUCCGCAGGUCCCGUGUCUGGCGGGCGCGGCUAAAACCCGGAGAGGCUGUGCCCGGGAAAGCCACGUUCGCCGUCCCCUCGCUGCGACAGGCCCAGCCGCGAUACAGCGCCAAGUCUAGGUCGGGCCAACCCAGCCAGGAGCUGCCCGGACCUGCCUGAAAGACCAGGGACGCGGCGCCAGCGCCCCACACCCCACCGAGACCAGGGCGCAAGGCGGGCAGAAUUCGGACUGAUGCGCCAGGCCCAGCCCCGAUGGAUUCCAGCUCCUCUCGGCCCCGCCUCCGGCCCUGGCCUCUUCCUCCAGCCGGGGUCGGGUCCUCCACUCCACUGUUUGGCUGGGAAAGGACCGAGACGCGCUCAGUGCACAGGGGGCCGGCUGCGGCCAUAAAUCUCCGGGCGGGCCCUCCUUCCCGCUGCUCACGCCGGGGUGCUCCGGGCCGGUCUCGUGUCCCGGGCCACGCCGCGCACCCUGCUCACCCCAUCACGGCCUGGGGACCCGGAGACUGCGCAGGGAACCACGCCAGGAGCUUCUCCGUUCACCAAAGAGAGGGAACGGCCUCGUUCCUCGGUGUCAACACCAUCCAUCUCUGAGGGCGCUGGACCCUGAGGUGGCCCGAGCUUCACAGGAUCACCGCCUUGGGGUAGGGGCGCCCGGGCCUGGCAUUUCCUCCUAGGAAGGCUCGGUGAGACUGGGAUGGGCAUGCGGCUCUCCGCUCGAGCCCAACUCCGGUGCCACCUGCACCACGGAGGGGUGACCCCAGGGUCAGGGUCAGAGCGGCUUCUCAGAAUUCAGCUUGCCACCUCUCCGCGGACCCUGCCUUCAUCUCGUGCCUCCUCAGAGCCCUCUGCGGGCGCAUGAAGGGCC
rnacentral:lncRNA from 1 species